rnacentral:misc_RNA from 1 species
UGAUACGCUUGCUCAGCGUAUGCCGCAUGCAAUGUGCACAUGAGGACAGCGUAGGCCUACAUGACAUUCACAACACACUGCAGCUCUCUCUGAAAACAUGGCGCAAAGCAGCUCGGUCGACCCUCAAGCCCAAUGCGUUAACGGAGCGGAGUCUAGGCAACGUGUGGCUCUGAUCACCGGUAUUACCGGUCAGGAUGGCUCCUACCUUGCAGAGCUGCUUUUAUCCAAAGGAUACAAGGUGCACGGCAUCUUACGCAGGUCAAGUUCCUUCAACACAGGCCGCAUUGCCCACCUGUACGCUGACACCAGGACACAUGAGAUGAGAGACAUGGUACUACACUACGGCGACCUCACAGACAGUACUUGCCUGGUCAAGAUCAUAAGCCAGGUGCGACCGACUGAGAUCUACAACCUGGGUGCCCAGAGCCACGUUAAGGUCUCCUUUGAUCUUGGCGAGUACACAGCGGAUGUGGACGGCGUCGGUACCCUGCGACUGCUGGACGCCAUCCGGACAUGCGGCCUCAGUGACAGCGUGCGUUUCUACCAGGCCUCCACUAGUGAGAUGUACGGGAAAGUCCAGGAGGUGCCGCAGACGGAGAAAACGCCGUUCUAUCCCCGCUCACCCUACGGCGCUGCCAAGUUAUAUGCAUACUGGAUCACGAUCAACUUCCGCGAGGCCUACAACAUGUUCACCUGUAAUGGCAUUCUCUUCAACCACGAGAGCCCGAGGAGAGGUGAAACCUUUGUGACAAGGAAGAUCACUCGAGCAGUGGCCAAGAUUCACCUAGGGCAGCAGGAAUACGUCUGUUUGGGGAACUUGGACUCAGAGAGAGAUUGGGGACAUGCCAAGGACUUUGUGGAGGCCAUGUGGAUGAUGCUACAGCAAGACAAGCCCAAUGACUUUGUGAUAGCCACCAAUGAGGUCCACAGUGUACGAGAAUUCAUCAUUGAGUCAUUCAAAUACAUCGGUGUGGACAUUGUGUGGGAAGGCAAAGGAACUGAAGAAGUAGGCAAAGACAAGGCCACGGGAAUAGUGCGAGUGCGCGUGGACGAGAAGUUUUACCGACCAACAGAAGUGGAUUUUCUGCAGGGGGAUCCGAGCAAGGCCAAACACUUGAUGGGAUGGGAACCCAAGACCCUCUUCAAGGAUCUCGUGGCCGAGAUGGUGGCAGCCGACAUUGCCCUGAUGAAGCAGAACCCAAUGGCCUAGCCACUUGAUGACUUUCUUCUGCUGUCCAGAGAGAUUGAAAAUGAGAUUUGUUAGCUUCAAAUCAGCCCUCUCCUCCCGGCUCCUGUAAGAAAGCACACAUUGUUAACAAAGCGUGACUUCAUCAGUAUGGCAGCCAGUUGUUUACCCUGAGGUAUCUUUUUUGUUCUUGAAGUUUACUUCAGUCCUGUUUCCAUUUUACACUGGCGUCAUGUUUCAGAGAUUGAUUCAGAUUUCGUCUUUGUGGAGAGAAGGGAGCAGUUUCGUUUUUUUUCAAUUUUGCAAGUGAGGUGUUAAACAGAAAAACAUAACUGUCCGUUCACUGGUCUUUUAUUGUACGUACUUGGGCAAGCAUACCUUUCUCUUGGAAGUUGCAACGGGGGUAGGUGCCUGGCUAAAGUGUUUUAACACCACCAUUUCAAUCUCAGAAUCCCACCCUGUCACAUCUGUGUAGCCACCUUCUGCAUGCUGAUAAUGGAUGUCAACCAAACCAGUUCUUUUUGAAAUUACUUUGCUGGUUAAAUUGAUCACGGUAUAUUUGCGUGCGUAUGCUUGUUUGUUGGCAUGUACGUUUCCUUUUUUUGUUUGUUUGUGUUUGGAAAGAGGGUAUUUAUACUCCAAACGUUGCAUUGUUAAAUGCGGCUUAUUGCAGCUGAAGUAAUGCUUGUGAUGUUUCAAUCUCAUUUCUUCCUGAUUGAAGAGAAUUCACAAUUGAAGGGAAGAAAUGAGAGUUGUGGUGCACAUCAUGAAGAUGUUCUGACAGGAAGAAAUGAGAUUCAAACAUCACGAGCAUUACUUCAGCUGCAGUAAGACACAUAUAUGCUGAAAUAUAUAGACAAAUGUUGGCACGGCAGCAGGACCAAUCAUGCGUAGACAAGUGGAGAAUGGCACAAAAAGAGCGCGGAGAGUAAGACACGAACUCCUCCUCAUUUCUUCCUGAUUGAAGAUAAUUUACGAUUAAAGGGAGUAAAUGAGAGUUGUGGUGCACAUCAUGAAGAUGUUCCUUACUAAAUUGCCUUCCCACAGAACCACUGAGGUAUGUGUAAUACUCACAUUUUUGACUGAACCAAAUUCCUCGGGCAUGUUGUUCCAGGUAUUUAUAAUGGGUUUGACUAUAACUUGGUCGGGCUGUUGGUGUGGUUGGCUCCCUGCAAAGGCACGUGCGCGUCCUCUUUGGUGGAACUGAAAUCAUUUACCGUACUUACACUGACUCAAGAAACGGCCUUUCUUGAGAAUUCAUGGACCUGGAACCGAUCUACAUUGUGUUCAGAUGGCUGCAGUGUUUUAUUUGGGGGUUUGCGGUUUUGUUUGUGUUUACUGUGGUGGUGUUAAGUUGUUUUCUUCCAUUCAGCAUUUCUUCACGUGUCUUGUCCCUUCUUGAGCCACAACUCAGAAAUUACUAUGAGAUCCUGAAGAUAGUUUUGCCCGAUAUGGUGUAUAUUGUAGAUUUAUUUAUGAUGACCAGUGUUGUUGGAUCAUGGUAUUCAAAGUGACUCGAAAUUUCUCUAUUUUUUCACACCUAUUCUAAAUUAUUUGUCAGUUUUCAUAUGCAUCAUAAAUUUAGUAUUAUGAAAAAUUGUUUUCUGCAUUUUUCUCCCUAGUUAAGUUAAACUAGUUGGUAUUUUGUUUGAUAUGUAGGACCCAAACUAUUUUAAGGACUCGAUUCUAUUCAGUGAAAUUAAAACCUUUUAUUUUCUUAUUCACAUGAAGAUGGUAUUGCCGAUUUCUGUAUAUUUUUCGAUAGAGUAAGUUUUGUAUAUCUGGGCGUCGUCUGGGGUGAUAGACGUGUAAUUCAGUUAAAAUGAUUGAAAGUACAUUCCACUGGUGGAAUUGGGUUAAAAUGGAAUGAGUGUAAACUUUGCUUCGUGUGGCGGGAUCUUUCUGCUCUGGAGGUUUAAUAUGAAGUUGCGAAAUCUUUGGUAUUUGACUUAACUUCAUUAGAUUCAUGGUUUCAUACGUGUUUCUCCUUUCACCACAGACAGUAUUUCAACUGUUCAUGCUUCGUUUGACUUGUAGGCUUGUUGUAAGGCAUUACUUUUUUUGUUCAAGAUAAAAAUAUCACUCUUUUAACUUGACGAACACGAAAAUGCAUUCCGAAUUUGAGAUGAUCCUGGUAAAUUCUGAGAUACUUUGUAUUUUAUAGCAACACUUGCUUUCCCUUUGGGAGAGAAAUCAGGGAGUUUCAAUUCGUUAAUAGUUGGUGUAGAAGUGCAAUUGCUACGGUUAAAUUAAUAAAUUUGGGAGUUCCCCCUUUUGUUGCGUACUUUCUGUUUAGACAGAGGUCGCUUAGGUCUC